rnacentral:rRNA from 1 species
CCUACGGGAGGCUGCAGUCGAGAAUCAUUCACAAUGGGGGAAACCCUGAUGGUGCGACGCCGCGUGGGGGAAUGAAGGUCUUCGGAUUGUAAACCCCUGUCAUGUGGGAGCAAAUUAAAAAGAUAGUACCACAAGAGGAAGAGACGGCUAACUCUGUGCCAGCAGCCGCGGUAAUACAGAGGUCUCAAGCGUUGUUCGGAAUCACUGGGCGUAAAGUGUGCGUAGGCUGUUUCGUAAGUCGUGUGUGAAAGGCGCGGGCUCAACCCGCGGACGGCACAUGAUACUGCGAGACUAGAGUAAUGGAGGGGGAACCGGAAUGCUCGGUGUAGCAGUGAAAUGCGUAGAUAUCGAGAGGAACACUCGUGGCGAAGGCGGGUUCCUGGACAUUGACUGACGCUGAGGCACGAAGGCCAGGGGAGCGAAAGGGAUUAGAUACCCUGGUAGUC